UCAAUGAGUAUUAUUUAUUGAGGGAACUCUUUAAAAUACUGAACAUUGUUAAUGACUUUCACGCGCGUCCGUGUGAAGAGACCACCAAACAGGCUUUGUGUGAGCAACAAGGCUGUUUAUUUCACCUGGGUGCAGGCGGGCUGAGUCCGAAAAGAGAGUCAGCAAAGGGAGAUGGGGUGGGGCCGUUUUAUAGGAUUAGGGAAGGUAAUGGAAAAUUACAGUCAAAGGGGGUUUGUUCUCUGGUGGGCAGGUGUGGAUCUCACAAAGUACACUCUCAAGGGUGGGGAGAAUUACAAAGGACCUUCUUAAGGGUGGGGGAGAUUACAAAGUACAUUUAUCAGUUAGGGUGGGGCAGGAACAAAUCACAAUGUUGGAAUGUCAUCAGUUAAGGCUGUUUUUACUUCUUUUGUGGAUCUUCAGUUACUUUAGGCCAUCUGGAUGUAUACGUGCAAGUCACAGGGGAUGCGAUGGCCUGGCCUGGGCUCAGAGGCCUGACAUUCCUGCCUUCUUAUAUUAAUAAGACAAAUAAAACAAAAUAGUGUUGAAGUGUUGGGGCAGCGAAAAUUUUUGGGGGGUGGUAUGGAGAGAUAAUGGGCGAUGUUUCUCAGGGCUGCUUCAAGCGGGAUUAGGGGCGGCGUGGGAGCCUAGAGUGGGAGAGAUUAAGCUGAAGGGAGGUCUUGUGGUAAGGGGUGAUAUCAUGGGGAUGUUAGAAGAAACAUUUGUCGUAUAGAAUGAUUGGUGAUGGCCUGGAUACGGUUUUGGAUGAUUUGAGAAGCUAAAUGGAAGAUACAAGGUCCGAAUAAAAGGAGGAGAAAAAUGGGUAUUAAAUGUCUAAGAAUUGGGAGGACCUAGGACAUCUGAUUAGAGAGUGCCUAAGGAGAUUCAGCAUAGUCCUGCCAGCAAAGAUUAUUUACUUCAAGAGUUAAGAGUGGCAGUUUGGGGAUAGCACCAGGAGAUAUCAGCUGUGAUGGCUUGGAGAAACAGUGUAAACCGGCAGUGUAAACAAGAGCAGGGCAUGUAUGAGUAGUUGAGAACGGUGAAUAGGAGUAUGACUAGACAGAAGAUAGUAGGGAUGACAAGUUUUUUGGGGCACAGUCUAAGUUGGUCUGGUGUCUGGAAUGAGACUGGGGCCUAAUAAAAAGGAGCGUCUAUACAGGAGCUUAAAUGGGAUGUACCUUGUAGCAUUCUGAGGACAGGCCUGAUUUCUGAGAAGGGAAAGUGGUAAAAGUAUUGUCCAGUCCUUUUUAAGCUGGUGGCUGAGCUUGGUGAGGUGUGUUUUUAAAAGACCUUUAGUCCGUUCUACUUUUCUUGAAGAAGGAGGACCGUAAGGGAUAUAAAGGUUUCACUGAAUACUAAGAGCCUGAAAAACUGCUUGGCUGAUUUGACUAAUAAAGGCUGGUCUGUUAUCAGACUGUAUAGAGGUGGGAAGGCUAAACUGAGGAAUUGUGUCUGACAGAAGGGAAGAAAUGACUGUGGUGGCCUUCUCAGACCCUGUAGGAAAGGCCUUUACUUUAUUCAGUGAAAGUGUCUAUUUAGACUAAGAGGUAUUUUAGUUUCCUGAAUCAGGGCAUGUUGAGUAAAGGUAAUUUGCCAGUCCUGGGUGGGGCAAAUCCUCCAGCCUGAUGUGUAGGGAAGGGAGGGGGCCUGAAUAAUCCCUGAGGAGUAGUAGAAUAGCAGAUGGAACACUGAGAAGUUAUUUCCUUGAGGAUAGAUUUCCACGAUGGAAAGGAAAUGAGAGGUUCUGAGAGGUGGGCUAGUGGCUUGUACUAUAGCAUAACCUGCCUUUGCUGGUGUGUGGCGAUUAGGCCUGGUGGAACUUCCAUCAAUAAAUCAAGCGUGAUCAGGGUGAGGAACAGGAAAGAAGGAAAUAUGGGGUGAAUAUCAGGUGGAUCAGAGAGAUACAGUCAUGGAGGUCAGGUGUGGUAUCAGGAAUAAUGUGGGAGGCCAGAUUGAAGUCCAGGCCAGGAACAAUGGUAAUUGUGGGACUUAAGAAAGUGUGAGUACAGCUGAAGGAGCCGGGGAGCAGAAAGUAUAUGCGUCAGGUAUGAGGAAGAAAAUAGAUUUUGGAAGUUAUGAGAAAUGUAGAGAGUGAGUUGAGCAUAGUUUGUGAUUUUGAGGGCCUCUAACAGUAUUAAAGCAGCGGCAGCGGCUGCACACAGACAUGAUGGCUAGGCUAAAACAGGAAGGUCAAGUUGUUUGGACAGAAAGGCUACAGGGUGCAGUCCUGGCUCUUGUGUAAGAAUUCUGACCACACUAACCAUGCCUAGGAAGGAAAGGAGUUGUUCUUUUGUAAGGGAUUGAGGUUUGGGAGAUUAAUCGGACACGAUCAGCAGGGAGAGCACCUGUGUUUUUAUGAGAAUUAUGCUGAGAUAGGUAACAGAUGAGGAUGAAAUUUGGGCUUGACUGAAGUAAUGGGGGCUGUCUGUGAAGCCUUGCGGCAGUACAGCCCAGGUAAUUUGCUGAGCCUAAUGGGUGUCAGGGUCAGUCUAAGUGAAGGCAAAGAGAGGCUGGGAUGAAGGGUGCAAAGGAAUAGUAAAGAAAGCAUGUUUGAGAUCCAGAACAGAAUAAUGGGUAGUAGAGGGAGGUAUUGAGGAUAGAAGAGUAUACGGGUUUGGCACCACGGGGUGGAUAGGCAAAACAUUUGGUUGAUAAGGCGCAGAUUCUGAACUAACUUGUAAGGCUUGUCUGGUUUUAGGACAGGUAAAAUGGGGGAAUGGUAAGGAGAGUUUAUAGGUUUUAGGAGCCCAUGCUGUAGCAGGCAAGUGAUAACAGGCUUUAAUCCUUUUAAAGCAUGCUGUGGGAUGGGAUAUUGGUGUUGAGCGGGGUAAGGGUGAUUAGGUUUUAAUGAGAUGGUAAGGGGUGCAUGAUCGGUCGCCAAGGAGGGAGUAGAGGUAUCUUAUACUUGUGGGUUAAGGUGGGGGGAUACAAGAGGAGGACGCAAAGGAGGCUUUGGAUUAGGAAUAAGGGCGGCAAUGAGAUGCAGCUGUAGUCCAGGAGUAGUCAGGGAAGCAGAUAAUUUAGUUAAAGUGUCUCGGCCUAAUAAGGGAACUGGGCAGGUGGGGAUAACUAAAAAGGAGUGCGUAAAAGAGUAUUGUCUAAGUUGGCACUAGAGUUGGGAAGUUUUAAGAGGUUUAGAAGCCUGGCCGUCAAUACCCACAGCAGUUAUGGAGGCAAGGGAAACAGGCCCUUGAAAAGUAGGUAAUGUGGAGUGGGGAGCCUCCAUAUUGAUUAAGAAGGGGACGGACUUACCCUCCACUGUGAGAGUUACCUAAAGCUCAGUGUCUGUGAUGGUCUACAGGGCUUCCGAGGUGAUUGGGCAGCGUCAGUCUUCAGCCGCUAAGCCGAGAAGAUCUGGGAAGGAGUCAGUCAGAGAGCCUUGGGCCAGAGUUCCAGGGUCUCUGGGAGUCGCUGCCAGGUGGUACACUCAAGACACCCAGGCUGUUCCCUGGAGAACCCUCUGCCAUUUUCUUCAUCCUAAUUCGAUUCUCCUCUCUCUCUGCUAUGUUAAAUGCAUUUUCUCUGUGAAGAUGGGUUCUUUUCUGAGGCCUCUCCAGAUGUUCUACCAGAAAAAAAAAAAUUGUAAUUGGACCAGAGUUUCUUGGUUGCCAUGUUUCCCAGGCUGGUCUUGAACUCCUGGGCUCAAGUGAUCUGCCAGCCUCAGCCUCCCAAAGUGCUGGGAUUACAGGGUGUGAGCUACCGCACCUGGCCAGAGUUAUUCUUAAAUUUUGACCCAUAGUAAGAAAUAGGAAAUACUCUUAAAGGCCAUUGAUUUUCAGUGAUAUUGCCGGAAUUCAUGGACCUUUUGGUUAGAACUACAUGCUUUUUUCUGUCUGAAGCAAUAAAAUUCUAUAAAUCUAAAUAUGUUUUCAAACAUUGGUGGGAAAUUAGAGAUGCAAUAACUCCUACAAACCGUGCAUGGCAAAGAUGUACACCACAACAAUUUGGAACAGACAGAGCAGAAUUGAUCCAAUCCUAUUGGUAGUCGAUACAGCAAGCUUGCAUUUUUUAGAACUAACUUUUUCAUAGUUGCAGGCAGAGUGAUGAAAG
rnacentral:lncRNA from 10 species